rnacentral:rRNA from 1 species
GAUGAACGCUGGCGGCGUGCCUAAUACAUGCAAGUCGAGCGAACAGACGAGGAGCUUGCUCCUCUGACGUUAGCGGCGGACGGGUGAGUAACACGUGGAUAACCUACCUAUAAGACUGGGAUAACUUCGGGAAACCGGAGCUAAUACCGGAUAAUAUAUUGAACCGCAUGGUUCAAUAGUGAAAGACGGUUUUGCUGUCACUUAUAGAUGGAUCCGCGCCGCAUUAGCUAGUUGGUAAGGUAACGGCUUACCAAGGCGACGAUGCGUAGCCGACCUGAGAGGGUGAUCGGCCACACUGGAACUGAGACACGGUCCAGACUCCUACGGGAGGCAGCAGGAGGGAAUCUUCCGCAAUGGGCGAAAGCCUGACGGAGCAACGCCGCGUGAGUGAUGAAGGUCUUCGGAUCGUAAAACUCUGUUAUUAGGGAAGAACAAAUGUGUAAGUAACUAUGCACGUCUGGACGGUACCUAAUCAGAAAGCCACGGCUAACUACGU